UGUGAAACUGAAGUUGGUUUAUUUGAAUAUGGUUUGAUAUGGUUUGAAUUGUAUUUAAUGUGUGCACUGAUGUAGCAACCGUAGGCAGUAUGGAUUUAUUCAUAUACGUGUAGGAACAUGAUGGUAAGGCUAUGGAAUUAGAAUGUUGUGAUGUGAUGUGUUUUAUUCUAAACUGUAUGCUGAAUUGUAUGUGUAUUGUUAUUGAUGCAGGAUUUGUUAGCUUUACAUGAUGCAGGGACUGGUUUAUUUCCAUAGUAGAUUUUCUUGUAUGGCAGACUGCGACAGAUUGGAUGAGAUCAAUGGGACGAACCGAGCUGAAUGAUGUGUUGCAGGUACAGCGAGAGGGUUGUGCGGCUGUAUGCUAACUGAUGUGGGGCAUGAUUUGACUGAAUUUGUAGGGGCUGGUUUUGAUGAUUCGCUGCUGAACUAAUGAUGUGUGGGUACAUGGAUCUUGAUAUAGUCGAAGCGACAUGAGGUCAAAGGUUGGAAGAUGAAUGGAGAUGGCUAACGGAAUAAGAAAGUGCAAGUGAAGGGUUUUAGCAAAACAUGAGUCAACUGUAUUUUUUUGUCGCUGAAAUUUUCUACGUAGUUGCAAUAUAUGGAUUUGUAAUGGGAAUUGGACUUUUGAAUUUUUGUAAUGGAUAUUUGUAUUGUAUGAUUUUUGUAAUGAGAUUUGA